rnacentral:lncRNA from 1 species
GCUUGACCUGAACAUGGAUACAUCUGGUAGUGGGCCACAAUUUUUUUGGCUUGGACCAAGAGGACUUGACUUGGAUAUCAAGGAUGGAAAGAGAAGAGGCGAAGAGAAAGACAUAAGAGAAUGUGGAUGAUGAAAGGUUGCAGCUUAAUGUAGUCUGAUUGGUUGCAGUAGGGAGAUGAGAGAGUAUCUGAUGGUGCUUGAUGGAUAGCUUUGG